AGAAAUGCAGAAUGCUACAGUUUCCUCAGUAGGCCUACGGAUAUGAACAGUGUAGCAAGUCCAGGUCACCUAACCUGUAUGCCAUGAAAUCUCUAACAACUAGUUUACAUAGAUGAUUUGAACCACUUAUCCAAAGGGAAAUAAAAUUCGACAUGACUUUUUAAAAAGUAUGGAGGAGUUAACAGGGCCUGAUUCCUGAAACAGUGACGUGGGAUAAUACAUUUGCAGGUCAAUGGGUUACCUCUUACGCUUCCAAUUCCGGAUUGUGUUCCCGCAACAAGAUGGUUGAGCACGUUCCUCAGUGAUUUUGUUUUAUGUUACUUCAUAUCUGUUUUCAUAUUUGCUUUUCUUUGUAAAUGUGUGGAGUUAUUAGCAUUUAAGUUCUAGUAAAAAUUACAUAGAGAUGAGUGUUGAGGGGGUGGUGGAGGGUAGUAUGAUGUAAAUUUGAAAUUAAUUUGUUAGAUAGAUUGGGGUAGGUUGUGCUAAUCAAUCCUAACUUGCAUGGGGGUAAGUUUCGAAUAGGAAGUUGAGUCAACUUAGUAAAGUUCCUGACUUUUGUAGGCUAAAGGUGAGUUGGGGAAGGAGGAAUCUACCACAUGUUUGUUGUGUGCAAUAGGUAAAUGUGUGUAAGUAUCGCGAAAUUUAAUCAAA